AAAAGAAAUGUGAAGCUGUCUCUGUCUUCCCUGGCAGCUUAUCCAGCAUGUGUGCAUACUUCAAUGCUUCUAAAACGUUUGCAAAGUGGGUGAGCUCAUCUCACAGUUAGAAAUUUGAAUUACCAGCAUAAUGUAAGCUAUCAUUUUCUUAUCAAUCUCUUUGUUUCUGUCACUAUAUUGGGUGGAAUGUGAGGAACAAAUGCCAUUGUUAAUCCUUUAUUGUCAUACCCUGGAGAAGGCUUUAUUGUUUCAUUGGGCAUACCAGGGAAAUCAAGGGUCAGAGAAGUUCAGGGAAUUGCCCACGUUUCUGUAGUUGGCAUAAAUGACAGUGCCAGGACUGGGCAGCUCAUCUUCCUGCUUUCCAAGCAAGAAAUGUUCACCUGUCCUGGAGACAGUGGGAUGUGCCCUUCCAGAAGGUCAUAUUAUGGGGAAAAAAAGGAAGGAGUACAUUGGAGAGAUGCCAAAGGGGGCCUUGCCCUUGGGAGGAA